rnacentral:rRNA from 1 species
CCUACGGGAGGCAGCAGUGAGGAAUAUUGGUCAAUGGCCGGAAGGCUGAACCAGCCAAGCCGCGUGAAGGACGAAGGUGCCAAGCAUUGUAAACUUCUUUUGUCAAGGGACAAAAUCAGGCUCGAGAGCCUGACCGAGGGGACUUGAAGAUACAGCAUCGGCUAACUCCUUGCCAGCAGCCGGGGUAAUACGGAGGAUGCGAGCGUUAUCCGGAUGUAUUGGGUUUAAAGGGUGCGUAGGCGGGCUGAUAGGUCAGCGGUAAAGGCCCGGGGCUCAACCCCGGCGAGCCGUUGAAAUUGGGUGUCUUGAGAUGUCGAGAGGUAUGCGGAAUGCGCAGUGUAGCGGUGAAAUGCUUAGAUAUUGCGCAGAACUCCGAUUGCGAAGGCAGCAUACCGGCGGCGAUCUGACGCUGAGGCACGAAAGCGUGGGUAUCGAACAGGAUUAGAUACCCUUGUAGUC